UACAGAGGGUGCGAGCGUUAAUCGGAAUUACUGGGCGUAAAGCGCACGUAGUCGGCUUUGCAAGUCGGGUGUGAAAUCCCCGGGCUCAACCUGGGAACUGCAUCCGAGACUGCAUUGCUAGAGUAUGGGAGAGGGAAGCGGAAUUUCUGGUGUAGCAGUGAAAUGCGUAGAUAUCAGGAGGAACACCGGUGGCGAAGGCGGCUUCCUGGACACUAACUGACGCUGAGACGCGAAAGCGUGGGGAGCAAACAGG
rnacentral:rRNA from 1 species